AACGAACGCUGGCGGCAGGCUUAACACAUGCAAGUCGAACGGCAGCACGGGAGCAAUCCUGGUGGCGAGUGGCGAACGGGUGAGUAAUACAUCGGAACGUGCCUAGUAGUGGGGGAUAACUACUCGAAAGAGUGGCUAAUACCGCAUGAGAUCUACGGAUGAAAGCAGGGGAUCGCAAGACCUUGUGCUACUAGAGCGGCCGAUGGCAGAUUAGGUAGUUGGUGGGAUAAAAGCUUACCAAGCCGACGAUCUGUAGCUGGUCUGAGAGGACGAUCAGCCACACUGGGACUGAGACACGGCCCAGACUCCUACGGGAGGCAGCAGUGGGGAAUUUUGGACAAUGGGCGCAAGCCUGAUCCAGCAAUGCCGCGUGCAGGAUGAAGGCCUUCGGGUUGUAAACUGCUUUUGUACGGAACGAAAAGCCCUGGGUUAAUACCCUGGGGUCAUGACGGUACCGUAAGAAUAAGCACCGGCUAACUACGUGCCAGCCGCCGCCGUAAUAC
rnacentral:rRNA from 1 species